UCCGGUUUGUCACCGGCAGUCUCCCUAAAGUUCCCGGCCGAACCGCUGGCAAAUAGGGACAAGGGUUGCGCUCGUUACGGGACUUAACCCAACAUCUCACGACACGAGCUGACGACAGCCAUGCAGCACCUGUCUCUCAGUUCCCGAAGGCACCCACCCAUCUCUGGGCAGUUCUGAGGAUGUCAAAGGUGGGUAAGGUUCUUCGCGUUGCAUCGAAUUAAACAACAUGCUCCACCGCUUGUGCGGGCCCCCGUCAAUUCAUUUGAGUUUUAACCUUGCGGCCGUACUCCCCAGGCGGAGAACUUAUCGCGUUAGCUGCGCCACCAAAGCCACUAAGAGCCCCAACGGCUAGUUCUCAUCGUUUACAGCGUGGACUAC
rnacentral:misc_RNA from 1 species